CUGCCACGCGAGGCUGCCGAACACGCGGCAGUCGACGCGAUGCGCGUCGGCGAGCGCGCGCAGCCGCGCGAGCGUCGGCCGCCACGCGGGCGGCGCCUGCCGCCCGACGUCGGCGAGCGUCGGCAGCGCGCACGCCGAAUCGAUCUGCUCGCGCGCGGCGGCGAGCGCGACGCGCCGCUUCCCCUCCGACGGCGGCAGCGGCAGGCCAAGCGGCACGCCCGCGUCGCACGGCGAGCGCCGCCGCACGAUCAGCGGCCAGCCGCGCGCCGCCCAGUCGCGCACGAACGGCAACGUGCCGAUGCCGCCAUGCGCGGCGAGCAGCGCCGGCCACGCCUGCGCGCGCACGCGCACGAGCGUGUGCCGCACGAGCGGCGCAUCAGCGGCCGGCGCGCGCGAGCUCAUACACGCGUUGCGCGACGUCGGCCGCGACGGGCCGGCCGCCGCGCUCGGCACCGUACCGGUCGCGCCGGUCGCAGCGAUCGGCCGGCCGCGCGAGGACCGCGGCGAGUUGCUCGGCGAGCGGGCGCGCCGGAUCGAGCACCGCGUCCACCGCGCCCGUCUUCGCGAAGUUCUCGAGCCCCGGCGCGAACACCGCGGUCGAUCGCGCCUUCUCGCGCAACACGUCGACGGGCAGCUUCGUCACGCGCGAGAUCGCCUGCAGAUCCAUCACCUCCGGUUGCGCGCCCGGCAGCGCGACGAGCGUGCGGGUGGCGAGCGCCGUCGCGAUGAACGCGCCCGCCGCCGCGUGCCCGUACAGCAGCCCGAUCGUCGGAUGACCGAGCGCGUCCGCGUGCAGCAGGCACUUCGCGAGAUGCGCGAGGCAUUCGUUCAGGCCGAGCAGUUCGUCGCGCUUGCUCAUCCGCUGGCUGUCGCCGUCGACGAGCACGAGAAUCGGCGUCUCGCCGCCGCGCCGGAUCGUCGCGAGCACGCGCUCGGCGAGCGCGAGCGCGCCGUCGACGCCGAGCGCCGCGCCAUGCGCGACACCGAUCACGUCGAGCGCGCGCCCCGCGAGCAUACCGUGCCCGGCAAGCAGGCCGGCGGCGUCGGCCGCGACGUCGUGCCCGGACGGAAACAGUGAAGCCAGCACGUCAUCGAGCGUCAUCGCACACCUCCGUGAGCCGAUCGGCGAGCGCCGCGAACGCGGCGGCGUCGAGCGCGGGAAUCGCGCCCGCGUCGGGCGCGCCGAGCGCGCGCCACACGUCGAGCGCGUCGUCGCAAUCGCGAAAGCGCGCGAUGCGCGCGGCAAGGCGCGCGUGCUCCGCUUCGAGCGUCGCCGUGCCGAACGCCCCGCCCGCGCGCACGCGCGCGAGAAGCGCGAUCGCGGCGUGGCGAAACGCGUCGAUCGUAUCGUCGACAAAGGCGUCGGCGCCCCCGACGAGCCGCCGAUGCUUGCCGCCCAUGGUGCGCCAGACGAGCGCGCGGUCGCGCG
rnacentral:rRNA from 1 species